AACGAACGCUGGCGGCGUGGAUAAGACAUGCAAGUCGAACGGGAUUUUUUUGUAGCAAUACAGAAAUAAUUCAGUGGCGAACGGGUGCGUAACACGUGGGCAAUCUGCCGAAAAGUGGGGGAUAGCUCGCCGAAAGGCGAAUUAAUACCGCAUGUGGUGAGGGACGACAUCUUCCUGAAUCCAAAGCCGGGGCAACCUGGCGCUUUUUGAGGAGCCCGCGGCCUAUCAGCUAGUUGGCGGGGUAACGGCCCACCAAGGCUAUGACGGGUAGCUGGUCUGAGAGGACGACCAGUCACACUGGAACUGAGACACGGUCCAGACACCUACGGGUGGCAGCAGUCGAGAAUUUUCUCAAUGGGGGAAACCCUGAAGGAGCGACGCCGCGUGGAGGAUGAAGG
rnacentral:rRNA from 1 species